GACGAACGCUGGCGGCGUGCUUAACACAUGCAAGUCGAGCGGUAAGGCCCUUUCGGGGGUACACGAGCGGCGAACGGGUGAGUAACACGUGGGUGACCUGCCCUCAGCUCUGGGAUAAGCCCGGGAAACUGGGUCUAAUACUGGAUAUGACUCCAUGACGCAUGUUGUGGGGUGGAAAGCCUUGUGCGGCUGGGGAUGGGCCCGCGGCCUAUCAGCUUGUUGGUGGGGNGAUGGCCUACCAAGGCGACGACGGGUAGCCGGCCUGAGAGGGCGACCGGCCACACUGGGACUGAGACACGGCCCAGACUCCUACGGGAGGCAGCAGUGGGGAAUCUUGCGCAAUGGGCGAAAGCCUGACGCAGCGACGCCGCGUGAGGGAUGACGGCCU
rnacentral:rRNA from 1 species